AUGUUAAUCCGAUCUCUAUUUUCUUGUAAUUAUGUAGACGAUCACUGUCCUUGUGUUUAUACUUAUGUACUAUGGCGUGUUUGCAUGUUUAAUUCACUAUGUUGUUUCUCUCUUAUGGAUACAUCAAAAAAGACAUCCAAGAAGGCAUAUUAUUAUUAUUAUCAGGACGAGGAAAUCUCAGGCGGGAAGUGCAAGGCCAACUGGAAGCUCGUAACCUCGCCGGUGGACCGCGGUGGCCUUGGCAUUCCAGACAUGGUACGUUUUGCGCGCGCAGUCCGCCUACGGUGGCUCUGGCUCGCAUGGAAGCAUCCGGACAGGCCAUGGGUCGGCACGGGAUCGCCGUGCGACGACAAGGACAGAGAACUAUUCGCCGCUGAAACUAGAGUUGACAUAGGAAAUGGAAGGAGGGCCACGUUCUGGAACUGCACCUGGCUCGGCGAUCAGCCGCUAAAACUUCAGUUCCCUCUGCUGUUCGCCAACUCAUCAAGAAAGAACCGAUCGGUGGCUGAAGCGCUCCAGGGCGACAGAUGGAUCCUUGAUCUCCGGAGAAGCAAUGCGAUGGAGAUCAUCCCGCAGCUGGUCUCUCUGCGCCGCAGCAUCCGCGAGGCCAAUCUCACCUUGUGGGAAGAGGUGGAGGAUGAGAUCUCCUGGCGGGCGGGAGCUCAGUACAGUGCCAAAUCAGCCUACGAUGCUCAGUUCGAUGGGCAGCCAAGAGGUGCACUACAACAGCUCAUCUGGAAGGUAUGGGCGCCAGGGAAAAUCAAGUUCCUCAUGUGGCUGUUGCACCAUGACCGGCUCUGGUGCAACGACCGGCUGCAGCGGCGCGGAUGGAAGAAUGGCUACUUCUGCCAGUUAUGCCUCAGAAACUUGGAGAGCUCGGCGCACCUCCUUUGGGACUGCCCCACGUCACAGCUGAUUUGGGCCAGGGCAGCAGCAUGGAGGGGCUGCGGCGCGCUCAGCCCAGUAACCUGGGACGGGUGCAAGACCACAACGGAGGUUGUCACUGCAAUAGUCUCUGCAUCAUCACCAUCCAACAGACGAGCCUCCAAAUCCAUGCUGGCUCUGGUUGCAUGGAACAUCUGGCAGGAACGCAACAGCUGCACGUUCAGGAAGAAGGAGGCUUGCGUUGACGAUGUGAUCAGUGCUUGCAGAAGAGAAAUAGAUCAAUGGAGGCUGGCAGGAGCAAAAGGAUUAGAGCCCCCCUUCGGGGAUAUCACAUGA
rnacentral:rRNA from 1 species